GGACAACCUGCCCUUAGGACGGGGAUAAACCCGGGAAACUGGGUAUAAUACCCGAUAGGUCUCGAUUGCUGGAAUGCAUCGAGAUUUAAAGCUCCGGCGCCUAAGGAUGGGUCUGCGGCCUAUCAGGUAGUAGUGGGUGUAGCGUACCUACUAGCCUACGACGGGUACGGGUUGUGAGAGCAAGAGCCCGGAGAUGGAUUCUGAGACACGAAUCCAGGCCCUACGGGGUGCAGCAGGCGCGAAAACUUUACAAUGCUGGCAACAGCGAUAAGGGAACCUCGAGUGCCAGGUUACAAAUCUGGCUGUCGAGAUGCCUAAAAAGCAUUUCAUAGCAAGGGCCGGGCAAGACCGGUGCCAGCCGCCGCGGUAACACCGGCGGCUCGAGUGGUAACCGUUAUUAUUGGGUCUAAAGGGUCUGUAGCCGGCCGGAUAAGUCUCUUGAGAAAUCUGGCAGCUUAACUGUCAGGCUUUCAGGAGAUACUGUCUGGCUCGAGGCCGGGAGAGGUGAGAGGUACUUCAGGGGUAGGGGUGAAAUCUUGUAAUCCUUGAAGGACCACCAGUGGCGAAGGCGUCUCACCAGAACGGACCUGACGGCAAGGGACGAAAGCUAGGGGCACGAACCGGAUUAGAUACCCGGGUAGUCCUAGCCGUAAACGAUACUCGCUAGGUGUCGGCCACGGUGCGACCGUUGUCGGUGCCGUAGGGAAGCCGUGAAGCGAGCCACCUGGGAAGUACGGCCGCAAGGCUGAAACUUAA
rnacentral:rRNA from 3 species